CCUCAAAUUCCCUUUUGGCCUAGGUCCCUGGCAUCCCAGUUUAGUAGAAGGGUCUUCCGGUACCAAGCGAGGUUCCAGCAGCCGUAGGCCGUAUUUUAUUUGGAGAUCGAUAGACUCGGUGUUUUUUGUUGGUUGCCCUUUGAGUAUGAUUAUAGGACGUCGGGGUUCCGUAUUAGAGCUGGGGUGAAUUCUGGAUUUCGAAGGCGACUUCAGGGAGGCAUUUCCCAGCCUGGUUUCAUUAUCAAGGACGAAAGUUUGGGGUUGGAGGAGGAUAGAAUCCCUUGGUAUUUUGGCCGGUAACGGAUCCGGCCUGCGGAUGCCGGGUGGCUGGUAUGGGCCUUCGCCGCCGGACCAGAGGAAUUCAAGUUUUUGGGUUUCGGGGGGGGGAUGGUUGCCAGGGUGAAAAUUAAAAGAAAUGGCGGAAAGGCCCCCCCCAGGGGUGGACCUGCGGGCUUAUUUGGCUUCACCCCGGAAAACCUUCCCGGUUCCGACCUUGGUUGGGAUGGCCAAUUGAGGAGUUUUUUUUGGUUUUAUUGGGGGUUGGGCAAGGCCGGUUUUAGGUUGUUGGAUGGAUUGUUUUGUUAAAUCCGGUAACGAACGGGGCCUUGGCCUUAUUAAUUACCGGGGCUUAGGGGACCAAAGGGUUUGGGGGUUUUUAGAGGGGCCUGUUUGGUUUUCGGGCCAGGAGUUUGGGGCCAUUACCAGUUUGGGGAGGCCUUUGAAUUUUUGGGCCCCCCGCGCCGUUCCCUUAAGGGGUUAACCGGUCUUUGUUGUGUUUUAUCGCAGCGUUGCUUUGUCGGAAGGCAUGGCUAAUCCUUUGAACGCCCAUCGUGCUGGGGCUAGAUUUUUGCAAUUAUUAAUCUCCAACGAGGAAUUCCUAGUAAACGCAAGUCAUCAGCUUGCAUUGAAUACGUCCCUGCCCUUUGUACACACCGCCCGUCGCACCUACCGAUUGAACGGUCCGAUGAAACCAUGGGACUACCUUUUGAGCGUUUGUUCGCGAUGGAGGUGGGAACUCGGGUGAAUCUUAUGCUAGAGAAAUGG
rnacentral:rRNA from 1 species